AGCGACGCCGCAUGCUUGUAAUUUUCUUCUGACCCUAAUGGCUCCGGUUUCCCCUCAGUAUUUAAGCGGAACAAGACAGAGAUUCAUUAAA
rnacentral:lncRNA from 1 species